rnacentral:rRNA from 1 species
UACGGAGGGGGCUAGCGUUGUUCGGAAUUACUGGGCGUAAAGCACACGUAGGCGGAUUGUUAAGUCGGGGGUGAAAUCCUGGGGCUCAACCUCAGAAUUGCCUUCGAUACUGGCAGUCUUGAGUACGGGAGAGGUGAGUGGAAUUCCCAGUGUAGAGGUGAAAUUCGUAGAUAUUGGGAAGAACACCAGUGGCGAAGGCGGCUCACUGGCCCGUAACUGACGCUGAGGUGCGAAAGCGUGGGGAGCAAACAGG